rnacentral:rRNA from 1 species
CCUACGGGUGGCAGCAGUGGGGAAUAUUGCACAAUGGGGGCAACCCUGAUGCAGCGACGCCGCGUGAGUGAAGAAGUACUUAGUUACGUAAAGCUCUAUCUGCAGGGAAGAAAAUGUCGGUACCUGAGUACGAAGCCCCGGCUAACUACGUGCCAGCAGCCGCGGUAAUACGUAGGGGGCCAGCGUUAUCCGGAUUUACUGGGUGUAAAGGGAGCGUAGACGGGGCGCCAAGUCUGGAGGGAAAUGCCGCAGCUUAACUGCGGAACUGCUUUGGAAACUGGCGAACUAGAGUGCGGGAGGGGUAAGCGGAAUUCGUGGUGUAGCGGUGAAAUGCGUAGAUAUUAGGAGGAACACCGAUUGCGAAGGCGGCUUACUGGAGCGUAACUGACGUUGAGGCUCGAAAGCGUGGGGAGCAAACAGGAUUAGAUACCCUUGUAGUC